rnacentral:lncRNA from 1 species
GCCCAGUGACAAAGAGCCAAAGAGGAUAAGAGCCCUGAGAGCCCAAAGUGGAAAACUACCAAGUUCCGCCGCCAGCCCAGCAUCGUCACCUCACCGAGUGAGCACAGCGGGGGCUCAAGCCAUCAAAGCUCGAAGCAAGGGAGACUCUGGUGGGGUCAUCGGUACACCCCGUGGCCCAGCCCCGCACCACACAAGGCAGCGUUUGUUCCUCAGUUUUCUCAUACUUGGCUCCUUUUGUUUCAACUGACUGACAAAUUAUCAAGUGUGGGUCGACCAGUGGAUGGAGAUUUCAAUUAUUGCUAACUAGUUCCUGCCAUCUUCUUUUAGGAACCCCACAGGGUAAAAUUAACAUAUUGAGGAGGCAACUACAGCUCAGAGAAGAAAGUCAUUCAAUUGAUCUCAGCUCUGUGGUCCUCUGAGUGGAUCAGCUAAAUGCCUACUUGGAGGAGAGCAUUAAAUGUCCUGAAAAAUAGCUUUAGAACAUGAGCAAACUGAAGCGGCUACAUCAGAGGUUCUAAAAUAUCUCACGUGUGUGUGUGUGUGUGUGUGUGUGUGUGUGUGUGUGCGUGUGUGUUUGAGUCAGCGUUAGCAAUUGGUAACCACUUUCUGCGGUGAUGAAUCCAUGGGACCCAGGGUAGAGCAGUGAAAACUGAACACACACACUUCAGCCAGAAUAGCAGUAGCUUACACAUUGGUGAAGGAAGGCAGGAGAGCUCUCUGGAAAGCUUACUGCUUGUGGAGAUGUGAGGACCGGGGUUGAAAGUCUGUCAGUGACAAACCUGAUUGAAGGCCUCAGGGAUCUUGCCUUUCUCAAACAGGACAGUGGUGGAGAACGUGAAGUCCAUCACUAUAGGUACCAUUCAGUUUUAUAUGACAAAUGACCUAAGUUGCCAAUUGAUGUGUUUGCUCAACAAACAUAUAGUAAGCACUACUAAGGAGCAGGGCAUAUUUAAUGGCAGACCAAGUGUCGUCGUCGUCGUCGUCGUCCCCCCCGCUUCCCCGCGGCCCCCCUCAAGUUGUGAGUGGGCAGCUUUGGCGUGGGUGGUAACACGUGGGUGGAACGUGGAGAGAUGGAGGGAGGUAAGCUGCAUGCAUCGUGAAGGCUAUGUUGGCAAAUCUGAUUUUGUUUUUGUUUUUGGUUUUUGGUUUUUCGAGACAGGGUUUCUCUGUGUAGCCCUGGCUGUCCUGGAACUCACUUUGUAGACCAGGCUGGCCUCGAACACAGAAAUCUGCCUGCCUCUGCCUCCCGAGUGCUUGGAUCAAAGGCGUGCGCCACCACGCCCGGCGCUGCAAAUUUUUAUCCUGAGGGUCAAAAGGACGUUCAAAUAACCAGCUAUGGAAGGGAAGGUGAGACCUGGUUUCUUCACAAACGGGGAAGUUCUGUUCAUGUCCAGGUGAGUGGACGGUCCUCCAUAGUGAUUGGCAGCGGAGAACGACGGAGAGAGAAGGCUCUGUGAGGAGAGGAAGAGCAGAGUCAGAGUCAAGGAGCAGCAUGGGUGAUGGUGCGAUUCAUGAAGGUGAGCCUGCGGAGGAGGCAGGACAGGUUAAGAAUGGAGAGGGUUUAGGUGGCCCAUCCGUCCUGUAUUAAUUCAUUUCCUCAUUCCUGUAGCAUAAUAUCUGACCACAGCAACUGGAGGAAGGGAGGGUUGCUCUAGCUCAAGGCUGGAGGGAAGUCCCUCUGGGGGAAGCCCUCAUGGAGGGGACAUGGUGGCAGCUGUGAGGCUGCUCAUCAAAUUUCACCCAUAGUCAGAAGACACGGUGACAGAGACUUCCACUCAGUUACCUUUUUCCUUUUGUUCAAGCUACGACCCCAGCACUUAGAACAGCACAGAUUAAGGACCGUCUUCCCACCUCGGUUAAUCUAGACUAAGUAGUCUAGAUAAUCUCUUACGGAGGUGCCCAGAGAUUUGUCGGUAACAGUGAUAUGAAAUCCUAUCAACUUAACAAUCAAAAUAAACCGUCGCAUAGCUAAAUGUUUUGUGAGCACGUAUACAGGUGGGUCAGCCUAUACCCAUCUGUUAUAUCAAAGCCACAGGGACGUGUGGCUUUCCAGAAAACUCUACUGCCUUCUUGCACCAAUGUUUUGUAUUCCUACAAUGAAAUGCCAGAGGCAGCCGACUCAGUAGAGAGGAGAGAUUUACUCUCGCUCACACUCCUGGCACUUCGAAGGCAUGGUGUGGAUUCAGUUCUGGUGAAGAUCUCAUGGCACGGGGCAGCUGGUGGAGCCUAGAUCACAGAGGGCACCAAGAAGCCGAGUGAGUGAGCCAGACGGCCCUGACCUUACUUCCCUUUGAGAAUACCCCACAAUAACCCAGAGCUGGGCCACUAGCUCCUCCCACCACCUUAAAAAACCCCGCCUACUGCCUUCCCCUUGGGCCCCUGGAAACCAAGCCUCCAAUCAUGGACCCUUGGGAGAUACGCAACCACAACUGGGUGGUUUGGAAUUGUCCAGAUAACUGAGAAAAGGGUAUGCCCAGGGAAAACUCCAUCAAAAAACUUUUCCUAGAAGGAUAAGCAAGGGGGGCGGGGAGGAAGACUAAGGAAGAAAAUAGGCAAGUUUUAGAGCUAUCAAGGAAGAGCAGGGUAGCUCAAGAAGAGAGGGGCAUGCCAGGGCAAGUUCAGUGUGAGUCAGGUGGUUUCCCCAAAGGAAUGUUCUAAGUGUUGCCCUUGGCUGUCUGUGAGUGUGGCCUUAGCUGGGAAAGGGGCAUUACAGAUAUAACCACGUGUACAGGAGGCCAUGAUAAGCCCAUCUGAUGACUCGUGUUCUCAUAAGAAGUUGGACACAGCUUUGUACG